GAGGGUAUAGCUCAAGUGGUAGAGCACAUGCCUAGCAUGCAUGAGGUCCUGGGUUCAAUCCCCAGUGCCUCCU
rnacentral:tRNA from 1 species